AGACUUGAUGUCGCCAUUUUAAACAGACAUAAUCGAUGAUUUACAACACAAAGUACCUUUAAAUCUUUAUUGAGAUUUAUAUAUGCUUAGGCAGGAUUUGUGUGUAUCUACCUGAUGGAAAUGUGAAUCGAGUCAGUGGAGAUCAAACUGAUCAGAUCCAUCAUGGAUGAAACACAAACAUCAGGAGAUGAAGAUUUUUCUACAGGAUACAGAUCAGUUCAUCAGAAGAGAUCAUAUCCAGAGUCCAGCUGUGUGUCUGUGAAGAGUGACGUGUCUAUGGAUCGACCAAUAACGUUUAACAGUGGA